rnacentral:rRNA from 1 species
UACGGAGGAUGCAAGCGUUAUCCGGAAUGAUUGGGCGUAAAGCGUCCGCAGGUGGCAAUGUAAGUCUGCUGUCAAAGCGUCUGGCUCAACCAGAUAAAGGCAGUGGAAACUACAUAGCUAGAGUAAGGUAGGGGUAGAGGGAAUUCCUGGUGUAGCGGUGAAAUGCGCAGAUAUCAGGAGGAACACCGGUGGCGAAGGCGGGUUGCUGGGCCGACACUGACGCUGAUGCGCGAAAGCCAGGGGAGCGAACGGG